UCCCGGUUGGCCCGGGCAGUCUGGUAUGAAAAAUUCAACAUACCAUAAGGGUUGCGCUCGUUGCGGGACUUAACCCAACAUCUCACGACACGAGCUGACGACGGCCAUGCAGCACCUGUCACCAGGUUCCAAAAGGCACUCCCAUGUUUCCACGGGAUUCCUGGGAUGUCAAACCUCGGUAAGGUUCUACGCGUAGCUUCAUAUUAAACCACAUCAUCCUCUGCUUGUGCGGGUCCCCGUCAAUUCCUUUGAGUUUUAAGCUUGCGCUCGUACUCCCCAGGCGGUGUGCUUAACGCGUUAGCUGUUCAGCCCAAGGGGUCGAUACCUCGAACUAAUAGCACACAUCGUUUACGGCGUGGACUAC
rnacentral:misc_RNA from 1 species